ensembl:lncRNA
AUUGAACACAGCAAUUUAUUUUCUCAAAACAUAGGAGGGACUUCAAAGCCAGAGCUGAAACCACAGUGCUCCAGUGACCCUCCCACAGGGACUAUGGCCGGGAUGCAGGAUGGGACCAAGCGAGUGAGCAGCCUUGUAACUUGUCAACUGCAGCUUUUUGGAGAAACUGCUCUCCAGGAUGACACUCCAUGAGUCCCAGCAGCUAAUGGGCAUUCAGUCCACCACCAGACCAGAGCUGCUCUGAUACAUAACCCUCACCUCCAUCAUUUCAUUCUUCAAAGCCUUCUUCCAACACACUGGUACAGGCUAAUGACAUCUAUAACAUUUCUAUACGAAUCUCACUCCACUGAUGUUUCAGGGCCACCCAGGGACCUGCACUGGCCAUGUCAUCCAUCGAGUUACAGAUCUCAUGUCUACAGCAGCUGUCAGCUCAGGGGGAGAGGCACUGGCUGUUGUGGAUGUCCCAUAGGCAGGGGAUAUUCCCACAGGUGGUGCAAGCCAAGCAAUAUCACAGUAAUGAUCACAAGAACAGGACCCAGUGGAUCAGUAAUUCUGAACGUUCCCCAGGGCUCUACAAGACAGAGUGAACGAUUUCCAGCAGCUUCAGUGGGC